AUUGAACGCUGGCGGCAGGCCUAACACAUGCAAGUCGAGCGGAGCGGCGGACGGGUGAGUAAUGCCUACGAAUCUGACUGGUAGUGGGGGAUAACGUCAGGAAACGGGCGCUAAUACAGCAUACUAUCAGAUGAGCCUAGGUCGGAUUAGCUAGUUGGUGGGGUAAAGGCCUACCAAGGCGACGAUCCGUAACUGGUCUGAGAGGAUGAUCAGUCACACUGGAACUGAGACACGGUCCAGACUCCUACGGGAGGCAGCAGUGGGGAAUAUUGGGCAAUGGGCGAAAGCCUGAUCCAGCCAUGCCGCGUGUGUGAUGAAGGUCUUCGGAUUGUAAAACACUUUAAGUUGGGAAGCGUUACCAACAGAGUAAGCACCGGCUAACUUCGUGCCAGCAGCCGCGGUAAUUC
rnacentral:rRNA from 1 species